rnacentral:rRNA from 1 species
GGAAUAUUGGUCAAUGGACGGUAGUCUGAACCAGCCAAGUCGCGUGAGGGAUGACGGCCCUACGGGUUGUAAACCUCUUUUGCCGGGGAGUAACCCGCCCCACGCGUGGGGCGCUGAGAGUACCCGGCGAAUAAGCAUCGGCUAACUCCGUGCCAGCAGCCGCGGUAAUACGGAGGAUGCGAGCGUUAUCCGGAUUUAUUGGGUUUAAAGGGUGCGCAGGCGGCGCGUCAAGUCAGCGGUCAAACUGCGGGGCUCAACCCCGUACCGCCGUUGAAACUGGCGUGCUUGAGUCUGUGGGACGGCGGCGGAAUGCGCGGUGUAGCGGUGAAAUGCAUAGAUAUCACGCAGAACUCCGAUUGCGAAGGCAGCUGCCGACCACAUCACUGACGCUCAUGCACGAAAGCGUGGGUAUCGAACA